CUCUCUGACUGUGAAGCCUGUGGAUAACAGAUACACCUGCCAGUUCUUUGAGGGAAACAGAAUCAAGAUAGAAACUCAUUACACACCUUCAUCUACUGGCCCCCCCGCCUCGUCUCCUCUGAGCUUCAUCAUGUCGACUCUGAAGAUCACAGGACUAAUCCUGAUGGUUGGAGUCACUGUUGGUAUCAUCAGAACCAGAGGAAGAAAAAAGCCUCAGAAAGACAUUAAUGUCCGUUUUGCUGCUGAUGACGACGCAGUGAAUUAUGAAAAUGUUGGAGAACGUUCUGCUGCCGCCGCUCUCCACUGAGCUCCAUCACAUCAGCUACAGUUUAUUAAAAAUGAUGCUUUUUUUGUGCAUUGCUUCCAUAUGUAUGAGUGUCUUUUUGUUUUUACUUGUUUCCAGAUUAAAUUGAUUAAGGUAUAGGUAACAGAUAAAUCUAAUAUCAGUAAAAUGACCUAUUUUCAAUGAAAGUUCAAGAUCUUUUUCACAGAGAAAAUAUUGAUAGCUACCACAAACUAAACAAUCAAUAGGAGUUUCCUAUUGACUAAA